rnacentral:rRNA from 1 species
UACGAAGGGGGCUAGCGUUGUUCGGAUUUACUGGGCGUAAAGCGCGCGCAGGCGGUCUUCCAAGUCAGUGGUGAAAGCCCGGAGCUCAACUCCGGAACUGCCAUUGAAACUGUUAGACUUGAGGAUGAGAGAGGUGAGUGGAAUUCCCAGUGUAGAGGUGAAAUUCGUAGAUAUUGGGAAGAACACCGGUGGCGAAGGCGGCUCACUGGCUCAUUACUGACGCUCAGGCGCGAUAGCGUGGGGAUCAAACAGG